rnacentral:rRNA from 1 species
CCUACGGGAGGCUGCAGUGGGGAAUAUUGGACAAUGGGCGAAAGCCUGAUCCAGCCAUGCCGCGUGUGUGAAGAAGGCCUUCGGGUUGUAAAGCACUUUCAGUGGGGAAGAAAGCCUUGGGGCUAAUACCCUCGAGGAAGGACAUCACCCACAGAAGAAGCACCGGCUAACUCCGUGCCAGCAGCCGCGGUAAUACGGAGGGUGCGAGCGUUAAUCGGAAUUACUGGGCGUAAAGCGCGCGUAGGCGGUCUGAUAAGCCGGUUGUGAAAGCCCCGGGCUCAACCUGGGAACGGCAUCCGGAACUGUCAGGCUAGAGUGCAGGAGAGGAAGGUAGAAUUCCCGGUGUAGCGGUGAAAUGCGUAGAGAUCGGGAGGAAUGCCAGUGGCGAAGGCGGCCUUCUGGACUGACACUGACGCUGAGGUGCGAAAGCGUGGGUAGCAAACAGGAUUAGAUACCCGAGUAGUC